AUUAGCUUAAUAAUCAUAAAUCUUUUUAACUUAGCCAAAGUAACGAUGAUAGGAGUAAAGAUCACAUAAUCAAAGUGCUCUAUUCAAACAUCGGUUCCUUAGAAUAACACAGAUAAAUUUAAUAAAUAAUAAGUAGUACAAAUUAAACAAAAACUUCGGGACAGGGGGGGUUAUAGAGUACAUUGACAGAAUUUAAUCAAUGCUAAUUAAUCUCUUUUACCCAACAAAGGGGAAAUAUAACUAUCUAUCGCUUGUAAAUCUAAUUACUAACAACUGUAGCCACACGUCGAAGCAAACAAGCACACGUACAGCCAUCUAUCCUGGUGCUGAAAGAAUACCACCGGCUGAACCUA